rnacentral:rRNA from 1 species
CGAAUUCGCCCUUGGAUCCAGACUUUGAUUCUGGCUCAGGAUGAACGCUGGCGGCGUGCCUAAUACAUGCAAGUCGAACGCACAGCGAAAGGUGCUUGCACCUUUCAAGUGAGUGGCGAACGGGUGAGUAACACGUGGACAACCUGCCUCAAGGCUGGGGAUAACAUUUGGAAACAGAUGCUAAUACCGAAUAAAACUUAGUGUCGCACGACACAAAGUUAAAAGGCGCUUCGGCGUCACCUAGAGAUGGAUCCCGCGGUGCAUUAGUUAGUUGGUGGGGUAAAGGCCUACCAAGACAAUGAUGCAUAGCCGAGUUGAGAGACUGAUCGGCCACAUUGGGACUGAGACACGGCCCAAACUCCUACGGGAGGCUGCAGUAGGGAAUCUUCCACAAUGGGCGAAAGCCUGAUGGAGCAACGCCGCGUGUGUGAUGAAGGCUGUCGGGUCGUAAAGCACUGUUGUAUGGGAAGAACAGCUAGAAUAGGAAAUGAUUUUAGUUUGACGGUACCAUACCAGAAAGGGACGGCUAAAUACGUGCCAGCAGCCGCGGUAAUACGUAUGUCCCGAGCGUUAUCCGGAUUUAUUGGGCGUAAAGCGAGCGCAGACGGUUUAUUAAGUCUGAUGUGAAAGCCCGGAGCUCAACUCCCGGAAUGGCAUUGGAAACUGGUUAACUUGAGUGCAGUAGAGGUAAGUGGAACUCCAUGUGUAGCGGUGGAAUGCGUAGAUAUAUGGAAGAACACCAGUGGCGAAGGCGGCUUACUGGACUGCAACUGACGUUGAGGCUCGAAAGUGUGGGUAGCAAACAGGAUUAGAUACCCUGGUAGUCCACACCGUAAACGAUGAACACUAGGUGUUAGGAGGUUUCCGCCUCUUAGUGCCGAAGCUAACGCAUUAAGUGUUCCGCCUGGGGAGUACGACCGCAAGGUUGCAACUCAAAGGAAUUGACGG